GACGAACGCUGGCGGCGUGCUUAACACAUGCAAGUCGAACGGAAAGGCCCUGCUUGCAGGGUACUCGAGUGGGGAACGGGUGAGUAACACGUGGGUGAUCUGCCCUGCACUUCGGGGUAAGCCUGGGAAACUGGGUCUAACACCGGAUAGGAGCCAUUUUUAGUGUGAUGGUUGGAAAGUUUUUUCGGUGUUGGCUGAGCUCGCGGACUAUCAGCCUGUUGGUGGGGUAAUGGCCUACCAACGGGGCGACGGGUAGCCGGCCUGGGAGGGUGGACGGGCCCAUUGGUACUGAGGGACGCCCCAGUAGCCUACCGUCGGCAAUGGGGGGGAAUAUUGCCCAAUGGGGCCGAGCCUGAUGCAACGACUCCCCGUGGGUGAUGACGUCCUUUGGGUUGAGAACGCGUUUCGCAAUGGACGGAGCUCUUUGUGACGGUACCUAGAUAAGAAGCACCGGCUAACUACGUG
rnacentral:rRNA from 1 species